CUUACCAUGCAAGUCGAACGAUGAUGCCCAGCUUGCUGGGUGGAUUAGUGGCGAACGGGUGAGUAACACGUGAGUAACCUGCCCCUGACUUCGGGAUAACUCCGAGAAAUCGGUGCUAAUACCGGAUAUUUACGCGUGCCCGCAUGGGUGUGUGUGGAAAGAUUUAUCGGUGAGGGAUGGACUCGCGGCCUAUCAGCUUGUUGGUGGGGUAAUGGCCUACCAAGGCGACGACGGGUAGCCGGCCUGAGAGGGUGACCGGCCACACUGGGACUGAGACACGGCCCAGACUCCUACGGGAGGCAGCAGUGGGGAAUAUUGCACAAUGGGCGCAAGCCUGAUGCAGCGACGCCGCGUGAGGGAUGACGGCCUUCGGGUUGUAAACCUCUUUCAGUAGGGAAGAAGCCUUCGGGUGACGGUACCUGCAGAAGAAGCGCCGGCUAACUACGUGCCAGCAGCCGCGGUAAUACGUAGGGCGCAAGCGUUGUCCGGAAUUAUUGGGCGUAAAGAGCUCGUAGGCGGUUUGUCGCGUCUGCUGUGAAAACGCAAGGCUUAACCUUGCGCCUGCAGUGGGUACGGGCAGACUAGAGUGCGGUAGGGGAGACUGGAAUUCCUGGUGUAGCGGUGGAAUGCGCAGAUAUCAGGAGGAACACCGAUGGCGAAGGCAGGUCUCUGGGCCGUUACUGACGCUGAGGAGCGAAAGCAUGGGGAGCGAACAGGAUUAGAUACCCUGGUAGUCCAUGCCGUAAACGUUGGGCACUAGGUGUGGGAUCCAUUCCACGGGUUCCGUGCCGCAGCUAACGCAUUAAGUGCCCCGCCUGGGGAGUACGGCCGCAAGGCUAAAACUCAAAGGAAUUGACGGGGGCCCGCACAAGCGGCGGAGCAUGCGGAUUAAUUCGAUGCAACGCGAAGAACCUUACCAAGGCUUGACAUACACCGGAAAAGUGCAGAGAUGUGCUCCCCGUAAGGUCGGUGUACAGGUGGUGCAUGGUUGUCGUCAGCUCGUGUCGUGAGAUGUUGGGUUAAGUCCCGCAACGAGCGCAACCCUUGUCCUGUGUUGCCAGCACGUAAUGGUGGGGACUCAUAGGAGACUGCCGGGGUCAACUCGGAGGAAGGUGGGGAUGACGUCAAAUCAUCAUGCCCCUUAUGUCUUGGGCUUCACGCAUGCUACAAUGGCCGGUACAAAGGGCUGCGAUACCGCGAGGUGGAGCGAAUCCCAAAAAGCCGGUCUCAGUUCGGAUUGGGGUCUGCAACUCGACCCCAUGAAGUCGGAGUCGCUAGUAAUCGCAGAUCAGCAACGCUGCGGUGAAUACGUUCUCGGGCCUUGUACACACCGCCCGUCACGUCAUGAAAGUCGGUAACACCCGAAGCCGGUGGCCCAACCCCUUGUGGGAGGGAGCUUCGA
rnacentral:rRNA from 1 species